rnacentral:rRNA from 1 species
AUUGAACGCUGGCGGCAGGCCUAACACAUGCAAGUCGAGCGAGCGGCGGACGGGUGAGUACUGUAUGGGGACUGCCCGAUAGAGGGGCAUAACUACUGGAAACGGUAUCUAAUACCGCAUACUAUCGGAUAACCCAUAUGGGAUUAGCUAGUAGGUGAGGUAAUGGCUCACAUAGGCGACGAUCCCUAGCUGGUCUGAGAGGAUGAUCAGCCACACUGGGACUGAGACACGGCCCAGACUACUACGGAGGCAGCAGUGGGGAAUAUUAGAAAAUGGGCGCAAGCCUGAUGCAGCCAUGCCGCGUGAAUGAAGAAGGCCCUAGGGUUGUAAAGUACUUUCAGUCGGGAGGCGUUACCGAAAGAAGAAGCACCGGCUAACUACGUGCCAGCAGCCGCGGUAAUUC